rnacentral:rRNA from 1 species
CGAAGGCAGCCUACAAGUCCUUUACUGACGCUAAAGCUCGAAGGUGCGGGUAUCGAACAGGAUUAGAUACCCUGGUAGUCCGCACGGUAAACGAUGGAUGCCCGCUGUUUGCGAUAUACUGUGAGCGGCCAAGCGAAAGCGUUAAGCAUCCCACCUGGGGAGUACGCCGGCAACGGUGAAACUCAAAGGAAUUGACGGGGGCCCGCACAAGCGGAGGAACAUGUGGUUUAAUUCGAUGAUACGCGAGGAACCUUACCCGGGCUUGAACUGCAGCAGAACGAUUGAGAGAUCAUGAGGUCCUUCGGGACUGCUGUGGAGGUGCUGCAUGGUUGUCGUCAGCUCGUGCCGUGAGGUGUCGGCUUAAGUGCCAUAACGAGCGCAACCCCUGUCCCCAGUUGCCAUCACUUCGGGUGGGCACUCUGUGGAUACUGCCACCGUAAGGUGCGAGGAAGGUGGGGAUGACGUCAAAUCAGCACGGCCCUUACGUCCGGGGCUACACACGUGUUACAAUGGCGCGUACAGAGGGUUGGCGUCCGGCAACGUCCGUCUAAUCCCCAAAACGCGUCUCAGUUCGGAUUGGGGUCUGCAACCCGACCCCAUG